rnacentral:rRNA from 1 species
UACGUAGGGUGCAAGCGUUAAUCGGAAUUACUGGGCGUAAAGCGUGCGCAGGCGGUUUUGUAAGUCUGUCGUGAAAUCCCCGGGCUCAACCUGGGAAUUGCGAUGGAGACUGCAAGGCUAGAAUCUGGCAGAGGGGGGUAGAAUUCCACGUGGUAGCAGUGAAAUGCGUAGAGAUGUGGAGGAACACCGAUGGCGAAGGCAGCCCCCUGGGUCAAGAUUGACGGCUCAUGGCACGAAAG